AAACCGUGGUUGGGGCAUUUGUGGAUGAGGCCCUUGAAACGUGCGACGGCUUCAAAAAGAGGUUCAUCAUGUCCUUGCACGAACCGAAAGAUUUUGUUUUUAAGCUU